rnacentral:lncRNA from 1 species
CAGUUCUCAUCAGCUUCAGUAUUGGUUACCCUGCAGUAUGGUUUUGAUAACCUGUUUCCAAAUCGCUUGUUUGGUUCCCCCCAGGGUGUGGGUGGUGGGGAUGUUCAGCUUGUCUUCUUGCUCACAUCUGUAAUAGGGGAUGGGUCUCUGGAGGCAUCUGUGAUUGAAUCCUCCUCCCUGACUUGCUCUGUUAUUGCUUCUGUAGGCACCAUAGGCUCUGCACAACAGCACUGAUUGAGCUCAAACUUUGUAAACAGAGACUUUGAUUGAUCUUCAAACAGAUAACCUCUGCAUUGGUGUAGAGUCCAAAGAAGAACUGUAGACUUUUCCAGUAGUCCUACAAUUUGGUUUUGGAUGUAAAGAAAUGUUUUGUCUUAGGGACGCUAUCUGGUCUCUGCUUACCACUGCCUUGUUUUAGAGGUGGUAGAGCUUCAGGUCUUAUCUUAAGUGAGGUCUGGUGAAGUAAUCACUUUUGGCUCACAAGCAAGUCUGAGAGGGGAAAAUUAUGAUUCCCUCCUGAAAGGCAACCACCUGAGAGCUGGAGCAGAUGCAUUCACAAAGAACAGGAGGAAGGCAGAGAAAGUUCAUGAAUAAUGAAGUUCACGCUAAAGCCCAUCCUGCAGCUGACUCCAUGAAGACCACAAUUGAUUUGAAUGGUUUCUGUCAGUGCAUUGUCUACCAACAUAGAGAGAGUUCCACGAUUGGAGCCUAGUAUAAGAAACACUCUUUUCCCAAGAUUUAGAGUACAGUAUGGGAAUGCUUUUAUAUGUGAAAAAAGAAAUGUCUAAUUGUCUUGUGCACUGCUGGAUACACAGAAACACUUGCUUUACUUGCACAAGCGGUUCCACUUAAAUAGAUCAGACUACUUAGGUAGGACA